CCUACGGGUGGCAGCAGUGAGGAAUAUUGGUCAAUGGGCGGGAGCCUGAACCAGCCAAGUAGCGUGAAGGAUGACUGCCCUAUGGGUUGUAAAGUUCUGUCAGUGGGGACGAAAAAUGACGGUACCCACAGAGGAAGCACCGGCUAACUCCGUGCCAGCAGCCGCGGUAAUACGGAGGGUGCAAGCGUUGUCCGGAAUCAUUGGGCGUAAAGAGUUCGUAGGCGGCAUGUAAAGUCAGGUGUUAAAGGCGCAGGCUCAACCUGUGUAUGGCACUUGAUACUUGCAAGCUGGAAUGCGGUAGAGGUAAAGGGAAUUCCUGGUGUAGCGGUGAAAUGCUUAGAUAUCAGGAGGAACAUCGGUGGCGUAAGCGCUUUACUGGGCCGUAAUUGACGCUGAGGAACGAAAGCCAGGGUAGCAAAUGGGAUUAGAUACCCCAGUAGUC
rnacentral:rRNA from 1 species